rfam:Lucilia cuprina strain LS Scaffold42, whole genome shotgun sequence.
UAAGCAGUUUUCUUUAAAACUACAAAAUAUAAUUUAAUGAAUUUUGU